GACGAACGCUGGCGGCGCGCCUAACACAUGCAAGUCGAACGGAGCUGAGAGAAGCUUGCUUUUCUUAGCUUAGUGGCGAACGGGUGAGUAACGCGUGAGUAACCUGCCCUGGAGUGGGGGACAACAGUUGGAAACGACUGCUAAUACCGCAUAAGCCCACGAUCCGGCAUCGGAUUGAGGGAAAAGGAUUUAUUCGCUUCAGGAUGGACUCGCGUCCAAUUAGCUAGUUGGUGAGGUAAGGCCCACCAAGGCGACGAUUGGUAGCCGGACUGAGAGGUUGAACGGCCACAUUGGGACUGAGACACGGCCCAGACUCCUACGGGAGGCAGCAGUGGGGGAUAUUGCACAAUGGGGGAAACCCUGAUGCAGCGACGCCGCGUGGAGGAAGAAGGUUUUCGGAUUGUAAACUCCUGUCGUUAGGGACGAUAAUGACGGUACCUAACAAGAAAGCACCGGCUAACUACGUG
rnacentral:rRNA from 1 species